UACGUAGGGGGCGAGCGUUGUCCGGAGUUACUGGGCGUAAAGGGCGUGCAGGCGGUGCAGUAAGUUUGGAGUGACAGUACCCGGCUCAACUGGGUAAGGCCCUUCGAAAACUGCUGGACUUGAGGGCCAGAGAGGGACAUAGAAUUCCGGGUGGAGUGGUGAAAUGCGUAGAUAUCCGGAGGAAUACCAAAGGCGAAGGCAGUGUCCUGGCUGGCAUCUGACGCUGAGGCGCGAAAGCUAGGGGAGCGAACAGG
rnacentral:rRNA from 1 species